rnacentral:rRNA from 1 species
AACGAACGCUGGCGGCAUGCCUAACACGUGCAAGUCGAACGAGACCUUCGGGUCUAGUGGCGCACGGGUGCGUAACGCGUGGGAACCUGCCCUUAGGUUCGGAAUAACUCCCCGAAAGGGGUGCUAAUACCGGAUAAUGUCUUCGGACCAAAGAUUGAUCGCCUUUGGAUGGGCCCGCGUUGGAUUAGCUAGUUGGUAGGGUAAAAGCCUACCAAGGCGACGAUCCAUAGCUGGUCUGAGAGGAUGAGCAGCCACACUGGGACUGAGACACGGCCCAGACUCCUACGGGAGGCAGCAGUGGGGAAUAUUGGACAAUGGGCGAAAGCCUGAUCCAGCAAGGCCGCGUGAGUGAUGAAGUCCUUAGGGUUGUAAAGCUCUUUUACCCGGGAUGAUAAUGACAGUACCGGGAGAAUAAGCACCGGCUAACUCCGUG